rnacentral:lncRNA from 1 species
GUCUGAUAGAAGAAAAAGUUGGCUACGAUCUACAUACUGUGGGGUCGGGCUCCAAAUUCCUCAAUAGGACACCCAUAGCACAAGAGUUAGUAACUAGAAUCAACAAAUGGGACUUACUCAAACUAAAAAGUCUUUUCUCAGCAAAAGAAACAAUAAGAGAGGUAAAUAGGGAGCCUACAUCCUGGGAACAAAUCUUUACUCCUCACACUUCAGAUAGAGCCCUAAUAUCCAGAGUAUACAAAGAACUCAAAAAAUUAAACAAUACGAAAACGAAUAACCCAAUCAACAAAUGGGCCAAGGACCUGAACAGACACUUCUCAGAGAAGGACAUACAAUCAAUCAAAAGUACAUGAAAAAAUGCUCACCAUCUCUAGCAGUCAGAGAAAUGCAAAUCAAAACCACCCUAAGAUACCAUCUCACUCCAGUAAGAUUGGCAGCCAUUAUGAAGUCAAACAACAACAAGUGCUGGCGAGGAUGUGGGGAAAAG